GGACCACUGACUCUAGUAGCACUUGUGUGCCCAGAUGAAGGUAUAUACAGGUGAUGUGUGACAUGUGUGUGAUGGAGUAGCACCUGUGUGCCCAGCUGAAGGUAUAUACAGGUGAUCUGUGACAGGUGUGUGAUGGAGUAGCACCUGUGUGCUCAGCUGAAGGUAUGUACAGGUGAUCUGUGACAGGUGUGUGGUGGAGUAGCGCCUGUGUACCUAGAUGAAGGUAUGUACAAGUGAUCUGUGCCAGGUGUGGUUGACAGUGUAAAAGCCCCCAUAGACCAUGUUAGGACCUUCUCUCUUUCUAUCCUGACAAAGACAAUGCAAGACUUGUAGAUAGACUUACAUUGUGGAUCUAAAAUCAUAAAUAGUAGCAUGAUUGUGACAGCAGUUGUUAAUUAAACAUAAUUGAUUCAGACAAUAUGUACACGUAGAUAUACAGAUAACACAGUACAAAUAUAGUUUGUUAGUUAUGACUAUUAUCAUUUUAAUCUUUAACUAUCCAAGUAUGUUUGUCAGCAUGGUUAUCCCAGGAUAAUGUGUGGUGUGCAGUUCAUGACAUGAGUGGCAGUUUAUAGCAUGAUAUAAUCCCCACCUCAACUGUGGGACAUGAUGGGAAGUUAUGAUGGUUAUCACCUACUACCACGUGUCAUGUCACUUCAGUUACAGCACUGGGCAGAUCCGUUGUAUCACCACUCACUCCACCCUGCGAUAUGGCAGUUGUUUAAGAUCACUUGUUAUGCAUGGAACAAAGGCAGAUGUAUUGGUACACACACUUACAGCAUGCUCGCUGCAUCACAUCACCAACUAGAUGUGAAUGUGACCCAAGACGGAUAUAUGGCUUACAUGUU